GAUGAACGCUGGCGGCGUGCCUAAUACAUGCAAGUCGAGCGAAUGGAUUAAGAGCUUGCUCUUAUGAAGUUAGCGGCGGACGGGUGAGUAACACGUGGGUAACCUGCCCAUAAGACUGGGAUAACUCCGGGAAACCGGGGCUAAUACCGGAUAACAUUUUGAACCGCAUGGUUCGAAAUUGAAAGGCGGCUUCGGCUGUCACUUAUGGAUGGACCCGCGUCGCAUUAGCUAGUUGGUGAGGUAACGGCUCACCAAGGCAAUGAUGCGUAGCCGAACAGAGAGGGUGAUCGGCCACACUGGGACUGAGACACGGCCCAGACUCCUACGGGAGGCAGCAGUAGGGAAUCUUCCGCAAUGGACGAAAGUCUGACGGAGCAACGCCGCGUGAGUGAUGAAGGCUUUCGGGUCGUAAAACUCUGUUGUUAGGGAAGAACAAGUGCUAGUUGAAUAAGCUGGCACCUUGACGGUACCUAACCAGAAAGCCACGGCUAACUACGUGCCAGCCGCCGCAGUAA
rnacentral:rRNA from 1 species